rnacentral:rRNA from 1 species
GACGAACGCUGGCGGCGUGCUUAACACAUGCAAGUCGAACGGUAAGGCCCUUCGGGGUACACGAGUGGCGAACGGGUGAGUAACACGUGGGUGAUCUGCCCUGCACUUCGGGAUAAGCCUGGGAAACUGGGUCUAAUACCGGAUAGGACCACUGCCUGCAUGGGUGGUGGUGGAAAGCGUUUGCGGUGUGGGAUGGGCCCGCGGCCUAUCAGCUUGUUGGUGGGGUGAUUGCCUACCAAGGCGACGACGGGUAGCCGGCCUGAGAGGGGUGACCGGCCACACUGGGACUGAGAUACGGCCCAGACUCCUACGGGAGGCAGCAGUGGGGAAUAUUGCACAAUGGGCGCAAGCCUGAUGCAGCGACGCCGCGUGAGGGAUGACGGCCUUCGGGUUGUAAACCUCUUUCAGCACCGACGAAGCGCAAGUGACGGUAGGUGCAGAAGAAGGACCGGCCAACUACGUGCCAGCCGCCGCAGUAA